rnacentral:rRNA from 1 species
UACGUAGGGCGCAAGCGUUGUCCGGAAUUAUUGGGCGUAAAGCGCGUGUAGGCGGCUUAGCAAGUCGGGCGUGAAAGCCCUCGGCUCAACCGAGGAAGUGCACCCGAAACUGCUGAGCUUGAGUGCCGGAGAGGAUGGCGGAAUUCCCCAAGUAGAGGUGAAAUUCGUAGAUAUGGGGAGGAACACCGGUGGCGAAGGCGGCCAUCUGGACGGUAACUGACGCUGAGACGCGAAAGCGUGGGUAGCAAACAGG